rnacentral:rRNA from 1 species
UGGGGAAUAUUGCACAAUGGGCGAAAGCCUGAUGCAGCAACGCCGCGUGAGUGAUGAAGGCCUUCGGGUUGUAAAGCUCUGUCUUUUGGGACGAUAAUGACGGUACCAAAGGAGGAAGCCACGGCUAACUACGUGCCAGCAGCCGCGGUAAUACGUAGGUGGCAAGCGUUGUCCGGAUUUACUGGGCGUAAAGGAUGCGUAGGCGGAUUUUUAAGUGAGAUGUGAAAUACCCGGGCUUAACUUGGGUGCUGCAUUUCAAACUGGGAAUCUAGAGUGCGGGAGAGGAGAAUGGAAUUCCUAGUGUAGCGGUGAAAUGCGUAGAGAUUAGGAAGAACACCAGUGGCGAAGGCGAUUCUCUGGACCGUAACUGACGCUGAGGCAUGAAAGCGUGGGUAGCAAACAGGAUUAGAUACCCUGGUAGUCCACGCCGUAAACGAUGAGUACUAGGUGUAGGAGGUAUCGACCCCUUCUGUGCCGCAGUUAACACAAUAAGUACUCCGCCUGGGAAGUACGAUCGCAAGG